UUCAUACUCUGGCUAAGCAAGAAGAUAAACUUUCACUGAAAUCUAUUCCUCUGCACCCCUGGCUCCAACUUCACCUGGUCUUGUGCUCACUCGGUGCUUUUGUUAUUUUAAGGGCCUCUGAAGAAUGGGUUUCUUUCCUGUUUAGAAUUCAGCCCUCUACCGCAGUGCUUCCCAAACUGUAUUCCAUGGGGGUUGGGGAAUGAAGGCUGUGGUAGGUAAUGACUCUCCCAAAGAUGUUCACACCCUCAUCCAUGGUACCUGUGACUGUUGUGUUACAUGGUAAAUGGAACUUUGCAGAUAUGACAUAGAUCUUGAGAUGAAAAGAACAUCCUGGUAUACCCAGGUGGGCCCAAUCUCAUCACAUGAGUUCUUAAAAGUUGAAAGUCUUCCCUGGCUGUGGUCAGAGAGAAAUGAGACAGAAGAACAUGGAGGAGAAAUUCAAGAUGUGAGUUAUUCAACCUACCCCUGCUGGCUUUGCAGAUAGAGGAAGGGGCCAUGAGCCAAGGAAUUUAGGCAGCCUUUAGAAGCUGGGAAUGGCCCUCAGCUAGCAAGGAGACCUUGAGACCUUGGUCCUAUAACCACAAGGAAUUCUGUUCUGCCAAGAGCUGGAAUGACCAAGCAUCGUGUGUGCAAAUAGAGGGCUUCUGCGGAGUCGCAGCAUCAGUAUCACACUCCGUUGUCAUAGUUACACCCUGAAAAGGAAGAUGCCCUGACAAAGACCAGAUUGGCUGUGAGCCACUGUAGGAAGAAGCUACAGGAUGAGCAAAGAAGGGAAACAUUCGCUUCCAGAGUGUGGUCCAGAUGCCACGAGGUGAAAGGAAUCUGGACUGCGGUGCUGACAGUGAUGAGAGUGCUGGAAGAGCAAAAGCAAGCCCAGAGAAUGUGUGAAAGUCUCUCACAGAUGACUGUCGAAGGACGGCUCAUCACAGGCGGUUGCGGUUCUGAGCCCAGCCGAGGAGAACAGUGUCAUCAGCCUCGGUGGGGAACAUGAUGGAUUUGAUUUGGGAUAUGUUUUGGAGAAGGGAUGCUGGCAGAACUAUCAAAUGGAAUGUUUAAACAGUCAGGUACUUAGAAAUGUAGGCCUGGAACUUCAAAAUUUUAAGUAAUGAUCAGCCAACGUUAAGGUUCUUUAAAUCGUCAUUCAUUCGUCCCUGAAAAUGGAAAGUGCCCACUGCCUGCAAUGUUAUUCAAGUGUUUGUCUGAAUGCAGAGUUCUGGGCCCCACUUUCCACCAAUGGGAUAGUGAUCUCUGGGGAUGGGCCCCAGAAAUCUGCCUUUGGACAAGUUCUCUAAGAGGUUUUAGUCUCCCUGGAGUUUGAGACCCACCAGUCCACUGGGAUUAUAUCAAGUGUGGACAGCAUUAAUGCCUUACUGCCUUACUGCCUUGCCUCCAUGUCCUUCUUCCUGGAGGAACUAUGGAAGUAUUCCAUCAUCUAGAAACCCAAGACCUGAGAGGUGGUGAUUCUUCGAAGGCAUGAUGGAGCCCAGGUCAGAGUCGUGGAGCCCAUGUCAGCAAGAUCACUCUGAAGAACACCUGAGUCUUGAUCCACCCCUCAGCCUUGUAACAAUUAAAUUUCACCAUCUGUUAUGAUCCAUUCCUAGCUGCAGUCACUGGAGGGAGCCUCCCACAGACAUCAGCUUUCCUAGAAGGAGAUGCGUUUGGGGAGCUGGGAGAUGCUGUGAAUACAUCCGUCACCACAUCAAUCAAGUCAUAUCCACAACAUACAUGAUUCCUGUUGCCUCCUGGCUGUGAUUUAUCUGAUUCCCUGGCAUGUCAGCAUAUCAGAUGAUUCAUUUUGAACCUCAGCCUCACUGGAUGUGAUAUUCAAAUUGGACUCCUCUGAGA
ensembl:lncRNA